UACGGAGGGGCAAGCGUUGUCCGGACUUACUGGGCGUAAAGGGUGCGUAGGCGGCCUGCUGCGUCGGUGCUGAAAGCGCCCGGCUUAACCGGGCGAGGCGUGCCGAUACGAGCGGGCUGGAGCCUUGGCGAGGGUGGCGGAACUCCUGGUGUAGUGGUGAAAUGCGUAGAGAUCAGGAAGAACACCCGUGGCGCAAGCGGCCACCUGGCCAAGAGCUGACGCUGAGGCACGAGAGCGUGGGGAGCGAACCGG
rnacentral:rRNA from 1 species